rnacentral:lncRNA from 1 species
GCUGAAGAUUGCUCGGAGAGAGGAUUUCCUUACUGAGCCCUUGCCUUAUUGCUAUUUCAGUGCAAAAUGAGUAAUGAAGAGGUUUAACUUAACAGGUGGGUUUGAUUCAAGCCCAUCAUUACAGGGUAUGUGGGGGGAGAAGACUUGCUUGUCCUGACAGCCCGUCUCACCAGGCCACACAUGGAGUGAGGUGUUGAAAGCAGUUUAUCAUAGGCGAUGCCUGGGCAUGAUGAGUCUCAGCUGCCGACGAUGUAUUAUUGUGGGAAAUGGUGGAGUACUUGCCAAUAAGUCGUUGGGGUCAAAAAUUGACGACUACGAUGUUGUUGUCAGUAAUGGGCACACGAGAAAAGAACAGAACAUACAUAGAAUAGCAACUACCUUCUCGACUCUGGACAAAGACCAAGAAAGAAGAUCCUUUUCAGUCCUUUGGUCCUGUGAGCUGUUCCCUGCUGCCCCAGUAUUGCUCUGGACACAGGGAUGACUGCUCAGAACAGGAUGAAACUUUCACAGCCCUUCUCCCAGUUCAUCGCACUAUCAGUUGCUCGCGAAGAGCUUGUACUGCUUGUCAUAGUCUGGUGGCUCGCAAUUAUCUCAGCUGCUGUUAGUAAAAUUCAGUUACAGCCUCUUUUUGGGCGCAGGCUGUUCACAAAGUAGCAAGAGAACAGUUUCAAUCCAUCUGUGUUAGGCCACCCACUAAAAUUUACAUCAGAAGGUUUACUAUUUAAUUUCCAAAUGAAAAGUUCAACUCUUUCUCCCCACAUCCAUAAAUCCAAGUCAGUUUGCAAGCUGAGAGGAUAAGAGGGCAGCUAAGCACCUGUGCUGGCUGCAGGUUGGAUAAAGGAGAGAAAAGUCAACUGCAAAGGUUAAAUGAAGCCAGGUGGCUGGAUGUGGGACAAGAGGAGGUGAGAGCAG